UGGCUCAGUGGUAGAGCACAUGCUUAACAUGCAUGAGGUCCUGGGUUCAACCCCCCAG
rnacentral:tRNA from 1 species